GACGAACGCUGGCGGCGUGCUUAACACAUGCAAGUCGAACGGAAAGGCCCUGCUUUUGUGGGGUGCUCGAGUGGCGAACGGGUGAGUAACACGUGAGUAACCUGCCCUUGACUUUGGGAUAACUUCAGGAAACUGGGGCUAAUACCGGAUAGGAGCUCCUGCUGCAUGGUGGGGGUUGGAAAGUUUCGGCGGUUGGGGAUGGACUCGCGGCUUAUCAGCUUGUUGGUGGGGUAGUGGCUUACCAAGGCUUUGACGGGUAGCCGGCCUGAGAGGGUGGCCGGCCACAAGGGGACUGAGGUAGGGCCCAGACUCCUACGGGAGGCAGCAGGGGGGAGUAUUGCACAAUGGGCGGAAGCCUGAUGCGGCAACGCCGCGUGCGGGAUGACGGCCUUCGGGGUGUAAACCGCUUUCGCCUGUGACGAAGCGUGAGUGACGGUAAUGGGUAAAGAAGCACCGGCUAACUACGUG
rnacentral:rRNA from 1 species